rnacentral:rRNA from 1 species
UGGGGAAUAUUGGACAAUGGGGGCAACCCUGAUCCAGCGAUGCCGCGUGUGUGAAGAAGGCCUGAGGGUUGUAAAGCACUUUAGGAGGGGAAGAAUAGGUUAGUUCGAAUAGGGCUGACUGAUGACAUUACCCUUGGAAUAAGCACCGGCAAACUCUGUGCCAGCAGCCGCGGUAAUACAGAGGGUGCAAGCGUUAAUCGGAAUUACUGGGCGUAAAGGGCGCGUAGGUGGAUGAUUGAGUCGGAUGUGAAAGCCCUGGGCUUAACCUAGGACGUGCAUACGAUACUGAUUGUCUAGAGUGAAGUAGAGGGUAGUGGAAUUUCUGGUGUAGCGGUGAAAUGCGUAGAUAUCAGAAAGAACACCGGUGGCGAAGGCGGCUACCUGGACUUUAACUGACACUGAGGCGCGAAAGCGUGGGGAGCAAACAGGAUUAGAUACCCAGGUAGUCCCUGAGCGGGCUGGCAAGGCGCAU